rnacentral:rRNA from 1 species
CCUACGGGAGGCAGCAGUGAGGAAUAUUGGUCAAUGGGCGGAAGCCUGAACCAGCCAAGUCGCGUGAGGGAAUAAGGCCCUACGGGUCGUAAACCUCUUUUGCCGGGGAGCAAGGGCGGGGACGUGUCCCGGCCCGGAGAGUACCCGGAGAAAAAGCAUCGGCUAACUCCGUGCCAGCAGCCGCGGUAAUACGGAGGAUGCGAGCGUUAUCCGGAUUUAUUGGGUUUAAAGGGUGCGUAGGCGGGCUUUUAAGUCAGCGGUAAAAAUUCGGGGCUCAACCCCGUCCGGCCGUUGAAACUGGGGGCCUUGAGUGGGCGAGAAGAAGGCGGAAUGCGUGGUGUAGCGGUGAAAUGCUUAGAUAUCACGCAGAACCCCGAUUGCGAAGGCAGCCUGCCAAGCCAUGACUGACGCUGAUGCACGAAAGCGUGGGGAUCAAACAGGAUUAGAUACCCCUGUAGUC